AACUUUCCUGAGUAUAAUUUGUUUAACCCGCCGAAUUUAAGCAUAUUAAUAAGCGGAGGAAUAUAAAACAACUGUGAUACCUUUAGUACUGGCGAAGGAACCAGGUAUAGUGCUCUUACUAACCCAUUUAUUUGGGAUUGUGUCUUUGGAUUUACGUUCAUCUGUAAGGUUUUUGUGCAUUGGAUUAUGCCUCUCUUUCCCGUGAUAGUCGGGUUUCUUCCUUACUUUUGUUCCUUUUCCUUUGUUGAGUAGGUCAAGUUCAAAUUCUUGAUUGAAUAGGAGGUAAUUUCCUUCUAACACUAAAUACUUUCUAAGUCCGAUAGCGUAAAAGUACCGUGAGGGAAAGGUGAAAAGUCGGCUACAAGCCAGUUAAAAUACUUGAAACUAUAACAGUAGAAGGUAAAGCAUUACACGUUUCGGUCUAUGCCGUUAGAGUUUCUUAUUCAUCUUGGAUAUUUUACUUUUUGUGUAAUGUUUACGCCCGUCUUGAAACACGGACUAAGGAGUCAUUCUUCCAUGCAAGUGGAACAUUGUUUACAAUGUCAGCUUUUUGAGCAUGUUUGAAUGGACCCGAAAGGUGGUGAACUAUUCUUGAGAGAGUUGACUUCAGAGGAAACUCUGAUUGAGGACUUAUGUGAUACUGACGUGCAAAUCGUUCAUUUUACUCGUGAAUAGUGGCGAAAGACUAAUCGAACCACCUAGUAGCUGGUUCCCCCCGAAGUUUCUCCUAGGAUAGCGGACGAGUUUGUAAUCACAUACAGUAGAGCAAUGUUUUGAGGUAACGGGGAAUUCGUUCCUUGACCUGAUCACAAACUACAAACGUAUGUUCUGAUCAAUUUUUAACUUUUUGAUCUCCUUGAUACUCUCGUCUCGUGGACCGUUUUUGGUAANCAGAUACGGUGCUUUGGAAUGCUCCAAGCACGAUGAUAAGGCAUAUUGUUCUUGGUUUACUGCUAUAAAAAGGCAUCAAUACAUUUAGACAGUCUGACGGUGGCCAUGGAAGUUGGAAUCCGCUAAGAAGUGUGUAACAACUUACAGACCGAAUGUAUUGGUCCUUAAAAUGGACUGUGCUCAAACCAUGCAGCCGAAACAUCGUAGGUCAUCUUUGUAUGAUUUUGUAGGGGGGCGUGUGGGCUGUUUUGAAGAUGAGUCGUGAGUCUCAUUGGAACUCCUCACAGUGCUGAUCUUAGUAGGAGUAGCAGUGUUUAAGUUGAUCCUUAAAGACGGAUGUAGAAAAGGUUUUCAUAGACACAUUGAAUGGCUAUGAGUGAGACGAUCCUAACACAUUAAUUUUUGUGGAAAGGGUAAUAGGUUAAUAUUCCUAUUUUGGAUUGACCCAUAGCGGCGACGCGUUGUUAUCUGCCUUUUCUAAUGAUGCCCAUCUAUUUGCGUUUUCUAUGCAAUUUAAACAGUUUACCACUAUGGAAGAGGUUUGCCCUACGAUAUAGUAUACACUGAAUAGAUGCCCUUCGGGGUAAGAUGCGGUGUCUUUGGAGCUUUAAACGUCAGAUUUCAUUUGGUCUUUCCAUUCGUACCAACAACCGCAUCAGGUCUCUGAGGUUUAUAACCUUUCGUUUUUGGAAUAAAAUAGAUGAGGGAAGUCGGCAAAUUAGAUCUGUAACCUUGGAAAAAGGAUUGGCUCUGCGGGCUCUGGUGCGGAUCAUCUUUGCUACUCUUUAGGACGAUUCGUCGGCUUAUUUGGUGGUAUUGAUGCUAUGUGCCGGCUAAGCCAUAGUAGAACUGAGGCAACGAGGGGAAUCCGACAGUUUAACUAAAACCAAGCAUUCUGAUUGUUUCUUACAGAUGUACGGAAUGUGAAUUCUGCCCGGUGCUUUGAAUGUCAAUGAGAGGAGACUCUUUUAAGCGCGGGUUAACGGCAGGCGUAACUAUGACGCUUUCAACGUAGCAAAAUGCCUCGUCAUCUAAUUAGUGACUCGCAUGAACGGAUUAAUGAGAUUCCUACUGUCCCCAUUUAUUUUCCAGCGAAACUACAGGUCGGGGAACGGGCUGACCUUUGACAGAACGGCAAGAAGACCCUGUUGAGGUUGACUCUAGCUAGUUUUUGUACAGUAGCUCAAGCGGUGUAGAGUAUGUGGGAGAGAAAUCGCCGAUGAAACACCACAACGUUUGAAGCCGCUGAACUUACUCUAUUACAUAAUGCAUUGCAUUUAGACAAAUUUUGUUUAUUAGAGGACAUUCACUGGCGGGGAGUUUGGCUGGGGCGGUACAUCUGUUAAAAUCCACCACAGGUGUCCAAAGGCUAUCUCAAUAAGAACAGAAAUCUUAUGUAGACUAAAAGGAGAAAAGAUAGCUUUACUCACUCCUCUAUAAUCGGAGUGGGUUGUGAAAGCAUGGCCUAUCGAUCCCUUCAUGGCUCAGAAAUUGAACUGAGGGGUGUCUGAAAACUUACCACAGGGAUAACUGAUUUGUGGCAGCCAAGCGUUCAUAGCGACGUUGCUUUUUGAUCCUUCGAUGUCGGCUCUUCCUAUCAUGAAGUUGUAAAAGGCUUCAAGUGUUANAUUGUUCACCUAUAAAAAGGGAACGUGAGCUGGGGUUUANACAA
rnacentral:rRNA from 1 species